rnacentral:lncRNA from 1 species
AGCUGACUGAUAAUAUGCUUCGCGACAGCUGAUACUGUCUGCAGAAGAAAAAUGUGAGGACGACAUAACUACGACCAAAAUAACUUUUGGGGAACUCAAAACAUAAAGGGGAUACUACUUGUUCAAGCACAGGUGCUACUACUUGUUCAAGCACAGGUGCUCACCGGCAUUCCCAGAUAAACAAUUCGAGCACCUAACAACCUAGAAGGCAGAUCACGAGGACGAGGAGCUGGCCGCCCACCUUCCCUUCUAACUUUAAGCAUGGAUGUAACCCUACCCUUUUCGUUAAAAUCUGAUAA